UUUUUUUGCACCGAAUGUGAUGACUUUAUUGAUGGUACACAAGAUAGGACUCUAUGCUCAUCCCCCUCACUACAGGGGUGCUUCGGGGCAGGGAUGUGAAAGGGACAUGGGCUCCCUGGCAUAGGAGACAUAGGUUGUUAUGGAUGUGAGCUCCCUAGUGGUGGAACUACUCUUUUUUGGCUGGGGAUGAAGAUCCACGGCUUUCCACUUUACUCCUUGGUGGCCAUGCUUCACCACCUUCUUGGUGACAUCGUAUUUGGCAGCUUUCUCCAGGCGGCAAGUCAGAUCCACCACGGACACAUUGGGAGUGGGAACACGGAAGGCCAUGCCUGUGAGCUUCCUGUUCAGCUCAGGUAUAACCUUGCCCACAGCCCUGACGGCACCGGUGGAAGCAGGGAUGAUAUUUUGGGCAGCCCCACGCCCAUCACACCACAGCUUGCUAGAGGGGCCAUCUACUGGCUUCUGGGUAGUGGUAAUGGCAUGGACUGUGGUCAUGAGUCCUUCCACAAUGCUGAGGUUGUCGUGAAUGACCUUGACCAGGGGGGCCAAGCAGUUGGUAGUGCAGGAGGCAUUAUUGACGAUCUUGAGGGAGUUAUUGUAUUUCUUAUGGUUCAACCCCAUCAGGAACAUUGGAGCAUCAGCAGAGGGGGUAGAGAUAAUGACGCAGUUGGCUCCAUCCUUCAUGUGAGCCCCAGCCUUUUCCAUGGUGGUAAAGACGCCAUUGGACUCCACGAUGUACUGGGCUCCAGAAUAUCCCCAUUUAAUGUUGGGAGGAUCCCGCUCCUGGAAGAUGGUAAUGGGUUUUCCAUUGGUCACCAGCUUUCCAUUCUCUGCCUUUAUAGUGCCCUUGAAUUUGCCAUGGGUGGAAUCAUACUGGAACAUGUAAACCAUGUAGGCAAGGUCAAUGAAGGGGUCAUUGAUGGCCACAAUAUCUACUCCACUGGAGCUGAAUGUUGCCCUGGUCACCAGGCAUCCAAUACAGCCAAAUCUAUUGACUCUGACCUUCACCAUCUUGUCUAAGGGAUGUGACUGCAGCAGAGGAUCCUGGCAAUGAGCUUAGGACAAGAGCUGAGAGCCUGCAUAUAUAUUUUUAAAUAGUCAGUUUAACAUUUAACACUAUGAAAGUAAUUAUAUAGCAUUGAAACUUAUUUGGGGAUUUUCUCAAUUGGACUGUGACAAAUACCUAAACAACCUGCUCCAUGAUGAAUUUCAUGCAAAUAACAAUCUUUUUUUCCAUUAGAUAACUUACUGCACCAUUCUUAUCUCAAGAUUAUUGUAUAUAAAAUAAAUCCCUGGAAUUGAAUAUUUUCCUAUCUUUA
rnacentral:lncRNA from 1 species